rfam:Astyanax mexicanus chromosome 12, whole genome shotgun sequence.
CCUGGCGGUGCCGUAGCAGCACAGAAUGGUUUGUGAGUUUUCAACAGGGGGGUGCAGGCCGUGCUGUGCUGCGGCAGCAACGCCAGG